rnacentral:lncRNA from 1 species
AUUCUGCUCCGCUUUAGCUGCGAGAGUUUACCAACUCAAAUCUGGCCCAAGCCUGGACAGUCUAGAUAAGGAAGCGGAUCACAAAAACAAAUUGCCAGUGAAGAAUUAUUGGAACUUUGAUAUCAUGGACCAGCAUUUACUAAUUUGGGGAAGCUCCUUUUAAAUAUAGAUGGUGCGGUGGCUCAUGCCUGUAAUCCUAGCACUUUGGGAGACUGAGGUGGGCAGAGUGCCUGAGCUCAGGAGUUCGAGACCAGCCUGGGCAACACGACGAAACCCCGUCUCUACUAAAAAUACAAAAAACUAGCUGGGCAUGGUGGCGCGCACCUGUAAUCCCAGCUACUCAGGAGGCCGAGGCACAAGAAUCGCCUGAACAAGGGAGGCAGAGGUUGCAGUGAGCCAAGAUUGUCCCAUUGCACUCCAGCCUGGGCGACAGAGUGAGACUCUGUCUCAAGAAAAACAAAAACUAAAUAUAAAUAAAUAAAUGGCUUUU